rnacentral:rRNA from 1 species
GAUGAACGCUGGCGGCGUGCUUAACACAUGCAAGUCGAACGAAGCACCUCUCCCGAAGAUUGACACAGCUUGCUGUAGAUUGAUUCAUUUGAGGUGACUGAGUGGCGGACGGGUGAGUAACGCGUGGGUAACCUGCCUCAUAGAGGGGGACAACAGUUGGAAACGACUGCUAAUACCGCAUAGUAAGAAGAAUUCGCAUGUUUUCUUCUUGAAGGAUUUAUCGCUAUGAGAUGGACCCGCGUCUGAUUAGCUAGUUGGUAAGGUAACGGCUUACCAAGGCGACGAUCAGUAGCCGGCUUGAGAGAGUGAACGGCCACAUUGGGACUGAGACACGGCCCAAACUCCUACGGGAGGCAGCAGUGGGGAAUAUUGCACAAUGGGGGAAACCCUGAUGCAGCGACGCCGCGUGAGUGAAGAAGUAUUUCGGUAUGUAAAGCUCUAUCAGCAGGGAAGAUAAUGACGGUACCUGACUAAGAAGCCCCGGCUAACUACGU